ACCUACAGUCAUGCCAUAGCAACUACGCUUGAACUCAGAAGCUAAGCACCACUAGGCGUGGCUAGGAUUUUAAUGGGAGACCAUCUGAGAAUGGCAGAUGCUGUAAGCA
rnacentral:rRNA from 1 species